rnacentral:lncRNA from 1 species
GAUUAAAACAUUUAUUAAGAGACACCUAUGCAAUAAAUGCAACUAACAGGAGAUGACACUACAAGGUUAGAAGAGUCGGAUUCAUAUUAAAAUCAAUUUUUAAUGUGGAUUUAUAGAUUAAACAAGAUAAACUACCAUUAAGCAUAUUAAAUCUAAAAAGGUUUGUAAAUCAACCAUAUCAGUAGCAACAUCAUUUUUCCUAGCUUCUAGACGGAACACAUGUGCUAAUAGAAGUGGUUUCAUCAUUUUAUCAAUUUUUCACUAUUUAUCAUGCAAUCAGCAAUAUUAACAUAGCAAGCAAGCAUUUAAAUCUAAAACAGUAGGAACAACAAGGAUUCUACUAACACAAGUUAUAUAUCUGAAACAUGCAUGUUACAAGAAAGCUAACAAAAGUGGUUUUACAAUUUUUAGUGCACUAUAUGAUUUAUAAAGCAUUUAAUGUCUCUCACACCAAACAGAUCAUACCACAAAACAUAAAAUAGCAACAUGCACAUACUCAACUCUAAAAUAAACUAGACUUCACAAGCAAUCCAACAAAACAAGAAUCACAUUUUUACCAUUUUUCUACUAGUUUCUAUGCAUUUUCAAAGUUGUUAAUAUUUUAAAACUAGCCAUUUUAUAACCAGUCCGAAACUAUUUGCAAGCUACCCCUUAGAAAGAUUUUUCGUAUCAUAGAUCUACCCUUUUCCUUUCAUUCUACCCCCUGCGUUUCACACUCUAACUCCCACCUCACACAUGAAACUUGCAAUUUUCCCCAUAACCCCCUAUUCUUCUUUUCCACUCGCAAGCAGACCCUCCUUCUUCAACCCUGGGAUAGAUCGCACAGAACACAGGUAUGUCACACAUGGGGGCGCACAACCCAUCGGGGAGAGGGGGAAACAGCGUGGCGGUGCUAGGGGAAGGACAGCAGUGCCAUGCCCAGGCCAGGGGAACUCCUUGGCGUGGCACAGGUAGGGAGGAAGGGGGCAGCGCAUGGGGGCUCCGCGUGGCGGCGGCGAGCGCCGUCGAAAUGCCCUAGAACGAGCAUGGAAACUUAGAUAUCGUGAACAAUAAACGGGAGCAUCAUGAUUAGGAGCUCACCUAGGGCCUAUUUGAGGUGUUGGUUAGCGACGAGGGAGGCCGGAAGGAGGGGCUCCAUGGAGAGGUAGAGCCGGUGGUGGAAAAGUUCCUGGAACUUUGGGGGAACUUCGAUUCCCGUCGAUUUGGUGGACGAUUGAUGGAGAGGAGAGGCUGAGGGUGUAGCCAAGGAAGUGGAGCCACUCUGGGCGAGAGGAAUCGAAGGGGGACGGAGGGAGAUGGGAGGAAUCGAUGACGAACUGAGAGAAGCUCGGAAGGGCAACAAUGGAGGAAAGCUCGAUUUUGGGGAGGCUAUGGCUUGGAGGGGGCCUGAUUUAUGGACGGGGGAGGGUGAGGAUAAGGAUGGCGAGGUGAUAAGGGUGACAAAGAACUAGGGGCGGCCAUUGUAGGAGAGGGAGCUGCCCGUGGUCAACGGACUGGCGGCGGCAAUGGCAUGGAGGACAGGGUGCUGCCCAAUCGGGUGCAAGGAGAGGCGUGGGGAGGAAGGGAGGGCACAUGGGAGGAUGCUUGGGCGGCCUAUGGGCAGAGGAGGAGCCCUCCUGGUGCUAGGAAGGGGCCAAUCCGAAGAACUUGGGGCUGUGUGCCGGCCAUCUAGCAUUCAGGCGCUAGAGGAAGGAGGAAGAAGAGUCUGACUAGUAAGCCCAUGACAUUUUUCACUAUUAAAUUUUGUACCCUUAUUUUACAUAGCUACACGUGUCCAAAAAUUUCCCAAAAAUACUCGUUGGAAAGAAGAAAUCACAAAAAAUCCAUUGUCAUAAUAAUCA